ACUCCUGCGGGAGGCAGCAGUGGGGAAUAUUGCACAAUGGGCGCAAGCCUGAUGCAGCCAUGCCGCGUGUAUGAAGAAGGCCUUCGGGUUGUAAAGUACUUUCAGCGGGGAGGAAGGCAAUACGGUUAAUAACCGUGUUGAUUGACGUUACCCGCAGAAGAAGCACCGGCUAACUCCGUGCCAGCAGCCGCGGUAAUACGGAGGGUGCAAGCGUUAAUCGGAAUUACUGGGCGUAAAGCGCACGCAGGCGGUCUGUCAAGUCGGAUGUGAAAUCCCCGGGCUCAACCUGGGAACUGCAUUCGAAACUGGCAGGCUUGAGUCUUGUAGAGGGGGGUAGAAUUCCAGGUGUAGCGGUGAAAUGCGUAGAGAUCUGGAGGAAUACCGGUGGCGAAGGCGGCCCCCUGGACAAAGACUGACGCUCAGGUGCGAAAGCGUGGGGAGCAAACAGGAUUAGAAACCCGUGUAGUCCC
rnacentral:rRNA from 1 species